GUCCACGCCGUAAACGAUGCAUACUAGACGUAUGGGGUAUCGACCCCCUGUGCGUCGCAGCUAACGCGAUAAGUAUGCCGCCUGGGAAGUACGGCCGCAAGGCUAAAACUCAAAGGAAUUGACGGGGACCCCGCACAAGCAGAGGAGGAUGUGGUUUAAUAUGACGCUACGCGUAGAACCUUACCGAGGCUUGACAUCUUAGGAACCUACUGGAAACAGUGGGGUGCCUUCGGGAGCCUAAUGACAGGUGCUGCAUGGCCGUCGU
rnacentral:rRNA from 1 species